rnacentral:rRNA from 1 species
GUCCAAGGCUUAAUUUCUCAGAGACCAGCUGCCUAGUCAACCUUGGUUGAUCUUGAAAACUAGUCUGAAUAGAUCUUGGUUAGUAUUUGGAUGGAAGACCACAAAGGAAUCCCAGCGCUGAUGACA